AGCAGCCGCGGUAAUUCCAGCUCCAAUAGCGUAUAUUAAAGUUGUUGCAGUUAAAAAGCUCGUAGUUGAAUUUCGGGGUCAGUAGGCUGGUCAUGCCACAGGUAUGCACUGGUCUCACUGAUUCCUCCUUCCUGAUGAACCGUAAUGCCAUUAAUUUGGUGUUGCGGGGAGACUGGACUGUUACUUUGAAAAAUUAGAGUGUUUAAAGCAGGCUAACGCUUGAAUACAUUAGCAUGGAAUAACGAAAUAGGACGUUCGAUCUUAUUUUGUUGGUUUCUAAGAUUGACGUAAUGAUUAAUAGGGAUAGUUGGGGGCAUUAGUAUUCAAUUGUCAGAGGUGAAAUUCUUGGAUUUAUUGAAGACUAACUACUGCGAAAGCAUUUGCCAAGGAUGUUUUCAUUAAUCAAGAACGAAAGUUAGGGGAUCGAAGACGAUCAGAUACCGUCGUAGUCUUAACCAUAAACUAUGCCGACUAGGGAUCGGAUGAUGUUAAUUUUUAAUGACUCAUUC
rnacentral:sRNA from 1 species